UAGAUAGAUGCCAGCUUGGUGAUGAAUUUAGGAAAAAGGGAAGCUUGAUUCUAUAGUGACUGAGAAUGGAGAGAAUUGGAGCAUGGGUAAAAGGCAACUAGUAUGUUUAGGGCGGGCAUUACUCAAGAGGAGCAAAGUGUUAGUUCUUGAUGAAGCUACUGCAUCAGUGGAUACUAUGACUGACUAUCUAAUUCA